rnacentral:rRNA from 1 species
GACGAACCGUGCGAACGUUGUUCGGAAUCACUGGGCUUAAAGGGCGCGUAGGCGGGCUGUCAAGUCUGGGGUGAAAUGCCGCGGCUCAACCGUAGAAGUGCCUUUGAUACUGGUAGCCUUGAGGGAGGUAGGGGCGUGCGGAACUUCCGGUGGAGCGGUGAAAUGCGUAGAUAUCGGAAGGAACACCGGUGGCGAAAGCGGCGCGCUGGACCUCUUCUCGACGCUGAGGCGCGAAAGCCAGGGGAGCGAACGGG